UACAGAGGUCCCGAGCGCUGUUCGGAUUCACUGGGCGUAAAGGGUGCGUAGGUGGUGAGGUAAGUCGGAUGUGAAAUCUCCGAGCUCAACUCGGAAAUGGCAUUGGAAACUACCUUGCUUGAGGGUUGGAGGGGGGACUGGAAUACUUGGUGUAGCAGUGAAAUGCGUAGAUAUCAAGUGGAACACCAGUGGCGAAGGCGAGUCCCUGGACAACUCCUGACACUGAGGCACGAAAGCUAGGGGAGCAAACAGG
rnacentral:rRNA from 1 species